rnacentral:rRNA from 1 species
UACGUAGGUGGCAAGCGUUGUCCGGAAUCACUGGGCGUAAAGCGCACGUAGGCGGAUUGCUAAGUCAGGGGUGAAAUCCUGGAGCUCAACUCCAGAACUGCCUUUGAUACUGGCGACCUUGAGUCCGGGAGAGGUGAGUGGAACUGCGAGUGUAGAGGUGAAAUUCGUAGAUAUUCGCAAGAACACCAGUGGCGAAGGCGGCUCACUGGCCCGGUACUGACGCUGAGGUGCGAAAGCGUGGGGAGCAAACAGG